UACGGAGGGUCCAAGCGUUAUCCGGAAUCAUUGGGUUUAAAGGGUCUGUAGGCGGUUUUGUAAGUCAGUGGUGAAAGCCCAUCGCUCAACGGUGGAACGGCCAUUGAUACUGCAAGACUUGAAUUAUUGGGAAGUAACUAGAAUAUGUAGUGUAGCGGUGAAAUGCUUAGAGAUUACAUGGAAUACCAAUUGCGAAGGCAGGUUACUACUAAUGGAUUGACGCUGAUGGACGAAAGCGUGGGGAGCGAACAGG
rnacentral:rRNA from 1 species